AUUGAACGCUAGCGGGAUGCCUUACACAUGCAAGUCGAACGGAGUGGCGAACGGGUGAGGAAUGUAUCGGAACGUGCCCAGUAGCGGAGGAUAACUACUCGAAAGCGUAGCUAAUACCGCAUACUAUUGGCGCGGCCGCUAUCGGAUUAGCGAGUUGGUGGGGUAACGGCUCACCAGGGCGACGAUCCGUAGCUGGUUUGAGAGGAGGACCAGCCACACGGGGACUGAGACACGGCCCAUACUCCUACGGGAGGCAGCAGUGGGGAAUGUUGGACAAUGGGUGAAACCCUGAUCCAGCCAUCCCGCGUGUGCGAUGAAGGCCUGCGGGUUGUAAAGUACUUUCGGCAGGGAAGCGGUACCUGCAGAAUAAGCACCGGCUAACUACGUGCCAGCAGCCGCGGUAAUUC
rnacentral:rRNA from 1 species